rnacentral:rRNA from 1 species
UUCCGGUUGAUCCCGCCGGACCUGACUGCUAUCGGAUUGAUACUAAGCCAUGCGAGUCAUUGUAGCAAUACAAGGCAGACGGCUCAGUAACGCGUAGUCAACCUACCCUAUGGACGGGAAUAACCUCGGGAAACUGAGUAUAAUGCCCGAUAGAACACUAUACCUGGAAUGGUUUGUGUUUCAAAUAAUUUAUUGCCGUAGGAUGGGACUGCGGCCUAUCAGUUUGUUGGUGAGGUAAUGGCCCACCAAGACUAUUACAGGUACGGGCUCUGAGAGGAGUGGCCCGGAGAUGGGUACUGAGACACGGACCCAGGCCCUAUGGGGCGCAGCAGGCGAGAAAACUUUGCAAUGUGCGAAAGCACGACAAGGUUAAUCCUAGUGGUUUCUGCUAAAGGAACCUUUUGACAGUCCUAGAAACACUGUUGAAUAAGGGGUGGGCAAGUUCUGGUGUCAGCCGCCGCGGUAAAACCAGCACCUCAAGUGGUCAGGAUGAUUAUUGGGCCUAAAGCAUCCGUAGCCGGCUUCAGUAAGUUUUCGGUUAAAUCUGUACGCUCAACGUACAGGCUGCCGGGAAUACUGCAGAACUAGGGAGUGGGAGAGGUAGACGGUACUCGGGAGGAAGUGGUAAAAUGCUUUGAUCUUUCGAUGACCACCUGUGGCGAAGGCGGUCUACCAGAACACGUCCGACGGUGAGGAGAUGAAAGCUGGGGGAGCAAACCGGAUUAGAUACCCGGGUAGUCCCAGCUGUAAACUAUGCAAACUCAGUGAUGCAUUGGCUUGUGGCCAAUGCAGUGUUGCAGGGAAGCCGUUAAGUUUGCCGCCUGGGAAGUACGUACGCAAGUAUGAAACUUAAAGGAAUUGGCGGGGGAGCACCACAAGGGGUGAAGCCUGCGGUUCAAUUGGAUUCAACGCCGGGA